GGAGAGAUAGCUCAGUGGUUAAGAGCACUGGGUACUCUUCCAGAGGUCCUGAGAUCAAUUCUUAGCAUCCUUA
rnacentral:tRNA from 1 species